UACUGCAAAGAAGAGAGGUGGUCUGAAUUAGUCCUGAAGUACCUCAAAUAAGAGAGGUGGUCUGCAUUAGUCCUGAAGUACCUCAAAUAAGAGAGGUGGUCUGAAUUAGUCCUGAAGUACCUCAAAUAAGAGAGGUGGUCUGCAUUAGUCCUGAAGUACCUCAAAUAAGAGAGGUGGUCUGCAUUAGUCCUGAAGUACCUCAAAUAAGAGAGGUGGUCUGCAUUAGUCCUGAAGUACCUCAAAUAAGAGAGGUGGUCUGCAUUAGUCCUGAAGUACCUCAAAUAAGAGAGGUGGUCUGCGUUAGUCCUGAAGUACCUCAAAUAAGAGAGGUGGUCUGAAUUAGUCCUGAAGUACCUCAAAUAAGAGAGGUGGUCUGCAUUAGUCCUGAAGUACCUCAAAUAAGAGAGGUGGUCUGCAUUAGUCCUGAAGUACCUCAAAUAAGAGAGGUGGUCUGCGUUAGUCCUGAAGUACCUCAAAUAAGAGAGGUGGUCUGCGUUAGUCCUGAAGUACCUCAAAUAAGAGAGGUGGUCUGCAUUAGUCCUGAAGUACCUCAAAUAAGAGAGGUGGUCUGCAUUAGUCCUGAAGUACCUCAAAUAAGAGAGGUGGUCUGCAUUAGUCCUGAAGUACCUCAAAUAAGAGAGGUGGUCUGCGUUAGUCCUGAAGUACCUCAAAUAAGAGAGGUGGUCUGCAUUAGUCCUGAAGUACCUCAAAUAAGAGAGGUGGUCUGCGUUAGUCCUGAAGUCAACACGUACCACACACAUGCACACACACACACACACACACACACACACACACACACACACACACACACACACACACACACACACAGCGACGCUGCUAAUGCCACCAAUUUAGCUAGUAAAGGAAGGAAGGUUUGUCAAUGAAAAGUAAUAAUGAGUCAUGUUUGUUUAUUUAAUGAUGUAUUUUACACGGUCUGUUUGUUACAUGAUGUCAAUGGGAACUACAGUGAGCGCAUCUAUGGGUACGUUUUGUCAAAAGUGUCGUUAGUCGGAGAAAAUGUUGACCAAGUAAAUAUUUUUUUUUGUUGCUGCAGCAACACAACCUGCGGAAAAAGCGGUAACCAUAGCAACAACCAUCAAAGAUGAGGGCCUAUAGCUGAGACUGGUCUUAAUGCAUACCAUCCUGAGAGAUGAGGAUUCAUUAAACCC